AGCUGUGGAGUCCACAGCUUGGCUUUGGUGAGCAAAACUAUGCCCUGAAUUGACAGACAGGAAAUACCCUUUGUUAGGAGGACUGGAGAACGAUGCCCAGAUACCUUGGCCACUACUGCCAUCUCCUGUUCAGAGUGGCUCACCCAGAACUGCCUUUACACGCGUUUGCCGUAAGUUCAAGUGUCAUACCCAGGCCAAACUGAUUCCAGGUGAGAGUCAGGAAUAUUCCCCUAUGCAUUUGAGCAUCCCUGGCAACCUGUUCUGGAAGCAGCAUCUUUUGGUGGCCAGUGUUAGAAGGUAGUGUGAACAGGAUUAAGGAAGUGAAGACUGUUGUUUGCAGGAAGAGGGAACUGGAAAGAAGAGGUCUCUGUGAGGUGGAGACGUGGCCAAAGAUGGAGGAAAAGAAGACGGCAAGGUGCAUCUACUCUGAGUGUCCUGCAUGAACCACCACUCUGAAACAGAAACCUCUGUGCAGGCCAUGUGCAAGAGAAUCAAAGGAACAUAGAAAAUCGGAUCCUCUUCUGAUUUCAAGAGGGGUCAUCAAAGAAGCCUCAGAUGAAGCUGACUUUUCCAGAUAAAAAGUUAUGCGUAUCCUUGUUGUAUUAUAUAUCUCACCAUCCACCAAGGCUUGGAAAUAACUCACAGCUGCCAUCUGCAAGCUGGAGACCCAGGAAAACUGGUGGUGUAAAUCAGAUGGAGUCCCAAGGCCUGAGAACCAUGGAAGCCCAGGGCAGAAGAUAGAUGCCCCAGCUCAAGCAACUGGACUUGCCUCAUGGGUGUGUCGUGGUGGAAAUAAAAGUGUAAAGGCAAUAAUGCCAAAUGAUGACGCUCAACCCUGAAACAGGCAGAGUUCCCAAGUGAAUAAAAAUGGAAAGUGUUCAAAAGAAGCCACGAAAUGGCAGGAGUUUAUAGAAAUAUUCUGUUACUACAUGGCCAUAGAAUUGUUACUGUCCAUCUUAGAGAAGAGAAAGCUGAAGAAAGUCUUAGGAUCUAUAUUUAAUUCCACGAAGAGCUAUUUAAUUCAAGACCCACCAGGCACAGCUGCAGAUACCUCCAUGAUGCCUUUGAUGAUCAACACUGGCUUC